rfam:Ipomoea nil DNA, scaffold: scaffold2403, cultivar: Tokyo-kokei standard.
AAUGGAGGAGAUGACGUUUUUCUAUGUGAAUAUGAAUAUGAUAUACACUGGCAUAGUUUCAAGCGUAUUGCAGACAUU